rnacentral:lncRNA from 1 species
CCGGAUGCCACAAUAAUUAGUUAAGGAAAAAAACAGAAAUUAGGGAGAAAUUAUUUAUUUUUAUUGAAUCAAAUAAUAAUAAUAAUAAUAAUAAUAGUAAGAAAAACUGCUGCACGGUCUCUCGAACCCGAGAGCUGUGGAUUGCCUAACCAUAGCAAGAAAAAAAAAAAAAAAAAAAAGACAGAUCUGGACAGCGAGAUCCUUCAUAUGUGCAGCUGCAUUGCUGCUUGCUGCAUAAAGAACACCUAAACUCAUAAACAUAGCCGAAGGAGAUGCCCACAUUGACUUUGGAUCAGCCCAUAAGAGCAACAUGCACGAAACAAGACUUAAACUUUAGAAAUUCCUAGUAAAUGUAGAAAUAUUAUUGGAAAAUCCUAGAGGUUAGGAGGAGGCGAUGCCUUUAUUAUAUAGAUAAUUGUUGGCCAUUUAAAUGAAUAAGAAACAUAAUGCACAUGGUAGGCUUAAAC